UUACUAGAGAAUUGGAAGAGGCUCAAGUCAGCAUCCUGCACAUGGUUAUCAAACCAUUGUGAAGUCUUAGCUGAACUGUGGAGAAUAUCUUUGAAAAGUGUUUUAGAGAGUCUACCAGAUUUGCCAUGUGAGUGCCUGUGCAGCAGAAGAGUGGGUCUUCUCAGUGGUUAAGGUAACAAAGUGAUUAAGUGUCUACUUAGCUGCUGAUCUCCAAUUCAUCAUUAACUUGAAUUUAAGAAUUACUUUGUAAAAUUCUGCUUCAUUAAAAAAAAAAUAAACUCACUUAAGAAUAGUUAUUGUAAAUAGCA
rnacentral:lncRNA from 1 species